AUGGUUAAUAUAGGUGAGAUGGAUGGUUGCAGUACUGUGAAAAUCAUGAAAAAGUAUAUCAAUGAAGGCUAUUGCCAAGGAUAUUAUUGUAUACUAAGACAAUUGUAUUUUCUAAGAUACUGUACAUUUUACAAAGGACUUGAAUUUGAUAUUUGGCCUUUUAAAAUCCAUAUACUAUUAGAUAAACCGUUUGCUGGCUUCAUUUUAGGUUUUCCACAUGUAGUUGCAGUUUCAGUUUUUCAUGAUUUAAAAACAUAA